AUUGAACGCUGGCGGCAGGCUUAACACAUGCAAGUCGAGCGAUCGGCGGACGGGUGAGCAAUGUCUGGGAAACUGCCUGAUGGAGGGGGAUAACUACUGGAAACGGUAGCUAAUACCGCAUACCAUCAGAUGUGCCCAGAUGGGAUUAGCUAGUAGGUGGGUUAAUGGCUCACGUAGGCGACGAUCCCUAGCUGGUCUGAGAGGAUGACCAGCCACACUGGAACUGAGACACGGUCGAGACUCCGACGGGAGGAAGCAGUGGGGAAUAUUGUACAAUGGGCGAGAGCCUGAUGCAGCCAAGCCGCGUGAGUGAAGAAGGCCUUCGGGUUGUAAAGCGCUUUCAGCGGGGAGGCGUUACUCGAAGAAGAAGCACCGGCUAACUACGUGCCAGCAGCCGCGGUAAUUC
rnacentral:rRNA from 1 species